CCAACUCCUCCCUGAUAACUUUGUGACGGCCUGUGCUGAGGCCAAGAUGGAGCUGGUCAUGAGGAUGCAAGAGGGGUAUGACCAUAGCUAUUAUUUCAUGGCAACUUUCAUGGAGGAUCAUGUGAGACACCAUGCCAAGUUCCUGAAGUGAGGCAGCUCCAUCCACCGCAGACAGACAUUAAACAAAUUAUUACUAAAGUGAUUCUAAUGAUUUUAGAUCAAAUUGACUGUAUCUUUCUGGAGAAGAAAAGUACAUCAGUUUGACGUGUAUGAUCUAUGACUGGCACUGUGUGCUUUGAUUCAACUCUUGUAUCAACAUUUUCCUUGUGGAUUAAAAUUUUUGUUUUGUCUAAUAUAAAAAAAGGGUAGCUUGAGAUCAUGACCUGUUUCUACACUCUUGUUUUGUAAAAUGAAUAAGUUAGAAGUAACAAUCCAUGUAAUUUUAAAUCUGAAUAGGAAAACUCCACCAUUUAUUGAAUUCUUUGCCACGUUCUAAAUUAAGCCAUAUAUUUCUACUCGUGUUGAUCAUGUCUAUAUUGUAAGAAUAGUAUUGGUUGUUUAUCAAUAUGGAUUUAUAAUCUGAAUGUUAUUAAGAUGAUUGAUUUUUGUUUUACAUGCAAUCAUUUGUAUAUUCAUACAAAUUAAAUAUAAUUAUCCCU
rnacentral:misc_RNA from 1 species